UACACUCAUUGGCCUUUGUACUCAUCCCCUUCCUUUAUCAUUAUUAUAUCCCUAGAUUUUUGUUUGUUGAAUAUUAAUAUAUAUCUGUAUCCUAGAUUGUUAUUUAGUGUGCUCUACAAACAGAGGCUGUGUUACAAAUUUUUGAAGUCACUGUUGCUGUUCUGCAUUUUUUUCUCUCAUAGAUAUGGAAGACAAUUCCGGCGUGGAAGAUUGUUACUACCCUCUUCCUGCUUCUGCUGCAAAAGCUGAUCCCAAUCACAGUGAUGGUGAAAAAGAAGAAACUUGUGCAGAGGAAGGUUGCUCUCACAGCUCAACCAAGCCUGGCCUCAACAAAUAUGCACUUGGCGGUGCUAUUUUGGCUUCCACAAACUCCAUUCUCUUAGGAUAUGAUAUUGGGGUCAUGAGUGGUGCUUCUCUUUUUAUAAGGCAAGAUAUGAAGAUCUCAUCGGUUCAAGUGGAAAUCCUUGUUGGGUGUUUGAAUGUGUGUUCCCUGAUUGGGUCUCUUGCUUCAGGCAAGACCUCUGAUUGGAUUGGAAGGAGGUACACCAUAAUCGUUGCUGCAGCCACAUUUCUGAUUGGUGCUAUUCUGAUGGGUUUGGCGCCUUCAUUCCCAGUCCUUAUGGCAGGUCGUGUGGUUGCAGGCAUUGGUGUUGGUUACUCCCUCAUGAUUUCCCCAGUGUAUGUGGCUGAGCUCUCUCCUGCUCUCACAAGAGGCUUCCUCACAUCACUCCCUGAAGUCUUCAUCAGCGUUGGCAUUCUCCUUGGCUAUGUCUCCAACUAUGCCUUUUCAGGCUUUCCAAAUGACAUAAACUGGAGACUCAUGCUUGGUGUUGCAGCCUUUCCAGCAGUGGCAGUGGCACUUGGUGUGCUAGCAAUGCCCGAGUCACCAAGGUGGCUUGUGGUGAAGGGAAGGUUUGAGGAAGCCAAGCAUGUUUUGAUUAGAACAUCAGAGAACAAAGGUGAAGCUGAGUUGAGGCUUGCUGAGAUACAAGAAGCUGCUUCUGUUUCUGCUUCAAUCAGAAACAAGGACAAAGCAGGUUCUUCUUCUCAUUCAGGAAUGUGGCAUGGGCAAGGGGUUUGGAAGGAGUUGCUUGUUACACCUACUAGGCCUGUGUUUAGAAUCCUUGUGGCUGCUAUUGGUGUUAACUUCUUCAUGCAGGCUUCUGGGAAUGAUGCUGUGAUAUAUUAUAGUCCUGAAGUGUUUAAGCAAGCAGGAAUUGAGGGUGAGAAGCAGCUUGUGGGGGUUACAAUCAUCAUGGGAAUUGCCAAGACUUGCUUUGUUCUGAUAUCAGCCUUGUUCUUGGACCGGUUUGGGAGGAGGCCCAUGUUGUUGUUGGGCUCAGGUGGCAUGGCAAUCUCAUUGUUUGUGCUGGGCUUGGGCUGCACCUUGCUUGAGUUUUCUGGUGAUAACAAGGAUGGAUGGGUCAUUGUUUUGUGUGUGGUUGCUGUGUGUGCUACAGUGUCAUUCUUCUCAAUUGGGCUUGGGCCCACCACUUGGGUCUACUCUUCAGAGAUUUUCCCUCUGAGGCUUAGGGCCCAAGGUUCAAGCUUGGCCAUUUCUGUGAACCGUUUGGUGAGUGGGGUUGUAACCAUGACAUUCCUUAGUGUCUCAGAGGCAAUAACAUUUGGGGGCAUGUUCUUUCUGCUUGGUGGGGUGAUGGUGUGUGCCACACUUUUCUUUUAUUGCUUUUUGCCUGAGACCAAAGGCAAGAGCUUAGAGGAAAUUGAAUCUUUGUUUGAAGAUCAGCCACGUUUAGUCUGAGACUAAGUUUUAGAUUAAAGCGUUGAUCUUUGUUUGAAGAUCAAGGCUUUAGAAGUAGAAGAAAAAUGGUGCCGUUGUCCAAGAGAUUAUUCAUUUUUUGUUUUGCGAAUUAAGGAAAAAUUGUUUGGAAAUUGGAGCUUGAGCUUCCCUGUUUCAUUGGACAUUUUAUUUAUUGAGAGAGGGAGAGAGUGACUCUUCAUGGAUAUCCUGCAGUAUGAGAAUGAAUGAGAGGGCAUACACAUCAAAAUUAGCAUCAACCUACAGCAAGACAGGUUCCCAACUCUAUAGACGCGUGGCCCAUUUCCAUUAAUGUUCAAACUUGGCUUGUAGGCUAGCCUCUCUGUUACCACCCUUGUCAGAUUUUGAUGUGUUGUUGCUUAGUCUUGGUCAAAUCCUGGCCCAGUAAAGUGGCCAAAUCUCUUUUUCAAUUAUCUUCCAUUAUUAACUGUUGUAGAUAAUUGGCUACGUAGCUGGCCGGUAUUUUACUAUGUAUAGCACUACAAUCAGUCAUAUGUUGUUUUUAUUUUCUAUCAAUAGAAGAUAGACCUAUCUAUACUUCGCUUGGUAAUCAUGCAAAUCGAUCAAGUCACCAUGUUCCAUCAUAAAAAUUUAUGAACAACUCGACAAUUCAUAUAACA